rnacentral:rRNA from 1 species
AUUGAACGCUGGCGGCAUGCCUUACACAUGCAAGUCGAACGGCAGCACGGGAGCAAUCCUGGUGGCGAGUGGCGAACGGGUGAGUAAUAUAUCGGAACGUGCCAGUCGUGGGGAUAACGUAGCGAAAGCUACGCUAAUACCGCAUACGAUCUAUGGAUGAAAGCGGGGGAUCGCAAGACCUCGCGCGAUUGGAGCGGCCGAUAUCAGAUUAGGUAGUUGGUGAGGUAAAGGCUCACCAAGCCGACGAUCUGUAGCUGGUCUGAGAGGACGACCAGCCACACUGGGACUGAGACACGGCCCAGACUCCGUACGGAGGCAGCAGUGGGGAAUUUUGGACAAUGGGCGCAAGCCUGAUCCAGCAAUG